AGAGAGAGAGAAUCCCCAAGCAGUCUCCGCUCUGUCAGGAUACAGCCCGGCUCGAACCGUGAGAUCAUGACCUGACCUGAAAUCAGGAGUCUGAUGCUUAACUGACUGAGCCACCCAGGUGCUCCCCCAAAUUUCCUCUUUUUAUAAAGACACUAGUCACAUUGGGUCAGGGCCCACCCUAGCGACCUCAUCUUAACGGGGUACGUCUGCAAUGACACUAUUUCCAAAUAAGGUCACACAUUCCGAGGUUCUGGGGCCCAGGCCUCCAACAUGUGAAUUUUUGAGGGACGUGAUUCAGCCAUCACCAUGGUAAAGUCAUUCUGUCAACCCUCGGGCUAUCAGGCUUACUACAGGAAGGAAAGCCCGAAACACUUCUGCAUCUCUUAUGUUUGGGACCCAACAACGUGGUUUACGCUGGCCGUUUCCUGAGGGAAAGCACACAGAUUUAUUCUUCCUUUCUCAUAAAUGCUUCCUGGGCAGAGGGCGCUAUGUGAGGUCUUGGGAGCCUGGCAGUGAACGGGAGGAACAGAAUUCUUGCUCUCGUGGAGCUUAUGUCUGGGGUGGACAGAGAAGCAGACAGAGGGACUUAAACAGAAAAGGGGAGAAUGAGAAUCGCCACGGGUUGGCUUUCGCUCCCCCGUCACUGCCGAACGCCCUUCCCCACUUUCCACGGGGCCUCCUCUGUGAGCAGCUGGGCUCAGCGAUGGGGCAACAAUCCUCAGUGGGGGCUCAUCUCAUCCAGGGGACCCCACACGUCCGCGUCCCAGGGGUGAGAGGAGACGUUGCCCCUGGCAGUAGCUGCUGGCAGAAGUGGGGGCAGGUGGCACAUGUGAGGUUAGCGGGGCCUUCCCCCCGGAGCCCCCACAAGGCACCUGCCUCUCAGACCGUUCCCCCUUGGCUGCUGCAUGAGACACCCCAGCCUUGGUCCCCUGUGUCCAGACCUUCCCACCGGAGGCUUCUCUGGAGGCUUCUCGAUGUGGCCGAGCCACAGAGCCCACCGCAGGGAACCCCAGGCGACCAUUCGAAAGACAGUGGCCAGAGAGGAGGCAGCUGCCCGCCACGUGCCUACGGCACCACAUGAUGCAGCAAACGUUACACAAUUCUGCCAACGUUGUGACUUCAGGUAAGCUAAAGCCGAGCCUGAGGCGCCCUGGAAUCCAUCAAAAUGUUAACGGCGGGGUGAUAGUUAAUAUUUGCUUCCACGCUGUGACCUACUUCUCUGUCUCUUGGAAAGUUUGAUGCACAAUUAUUGCUCAAGUAAUGGAAAAGACACCCUGGUGAAUACAAGAAGGACACGAAUGCCAGCCUCUUCCUCCCCCGCCCCAACCCCCCACCGCCGACGCUCUUAUUUUGAGCACGUGCUUCUCACUCCUGUUCCAGCCAGAAUUUUCUGCCGGGAAAACAAGCAGGCAUCUGCUCCGAGCAGGGGGGGAGCCUGAGACCCUCCCCCCCCCCCGCCCCCCACCAGCCAGGGAAGCAGCAGCCGGAAGAGUCAAGAUUGCUGGGCAGGGACGCUGUCUCGAGGUUUUCCAUCUGGUGCUUGAUAUUUCGGGGAAAUGUGUGAGGGGAGGGGGUGGCCAGAAAACAGAGAAGGGCACAGGUGACGAGGAAGCCGAGGAAGACGAGGCCCUGAUGACGGGAGGAAGGAGAAGCAGCAUCGGGGCGAGUGGGCAUUUCCUGGACCCGUGUCAUGUCUCCCACUUGGGUCAGGGGACCGAGGGCUUUGCUUCUGCAGAGGUCAGUGGUGCAAGUCAGGAAGACCUUCGAAGGGUGGCAUGUCCAGCCUUCCGUGCUGUGCAGGGGGAGCAGGGGAGGGGGAGGAUCCCCGCAAAGUCUGCAAACGCUGCUCGCUCCUGGGGGAUCCCUGUCCUCACGGGUCCUCCGGUGCUGGGCUGUGCCCCUGUCGGGGAGCUACGUGGGGUGUGUGGUUCGUGGGGUGAGGGUCCCGUGUCCCAUCCCUGCCCAGUGUCCCAAGCGGAUAUGCAGGUAGCUUACUAUGCAGAGACCCCGAGAGCGUGCCUCCCCACUCCCCACUGCUGAACUGACCCCGGGGUGGAGCCGUCCCCUCCGAAGACACAUUCCGCACAGUGACUUGCAGCCUCGAGGUGGCUGUGGAGCUGGUCCUGUCCAGUUGAACCUGCACGGAGGCCUUGCCUUUUCUGGGCUGGUGUGCCCCCCCCCCCCCAGUUCUCCCAGGCUAAGGGCAGUGCAUCCUUAGGGGUGGAGCCACAAGACAGAAGGAGUUUGGGUCUGCCAGUCACCUUGCGGUCCACUCGGACAGGACAAAUACGGAGCUUUCACAUGGGCCAGAAACCAGCCAGAGAGGAAAGGCAACAUCAGUCAGAACUUGGGGUCCACUUGGCCACCAGAUCAAGGGACUCGGCUCCUGCUGGCCACACGUGAUGAAGAUGUAAACGUUCUCCCUGCCGCCCAAACACCCAAGACCCUCUUCGUAGCCAGUUAGCAACCUAUCGCCCGUGAUACGUCCACACUGUGCAGCAUCCGGGGAGGCCCCAAGCCUGGGAGGGCGUGGGAGGGGCAGACCUGGGCUGGCCACGCACCUCAGCUGAUGCUCAGGGGUCAGAAACACAUUUUCCAGAGCUCCUGUCAAGCCCAGACGCCCAGAACCCUCCCCGUCUCUCCUGCAAAGCUCUGCCAGAUCUGUCUUCAUAGCCGGGAUCAUCCUCAGAGCCUGUGCUGGUGGCUUUGAAGGAAGACAGGGCUAGAGGGUGAGCUCAGAGCCAGGCUGGCCUGUAGGGAGAGAUGUGUCGGGCGGUUGGCGGUGACGAGAGCUCACUGUGCCAGCUACAAGUGCAGGAGGGAGAGGACAAAAGGGGGGCUUGCCCUUUCCCCAGUGAGCCUGUCACCACGGAGAGGGGCAGCCGGUGAGCGCCAAGGGGAGAGAGAGGGACGCGGGCCAAGGGAGCGGCCAGAGGUGUGCAGGGACGCAGGCACAGACAGAGCUGGCUCCCGGGCCAUGAGAGCGCCUGGCCUCCGUCUGAUAAGGUGGGUCACGUGCCUGAGCGACUGGCAUCCGUUUCCUUAUCUGGAUGGUUUCACUCUGGUCAGUGAACUGAAACCUGAGUGUCUGCCUCCAAGGAUGUGCUGGGCUGCUGGCUGCAGGGUGGGUCCGGGUGCCCACGUACACACACACACACACACACACACACGCACCCACGUGCCCUGGCUUGCACACAGAGCUGUUCCAACAAUUGUCCACGAGCACGUGAUCUUGUUUGGAAUGAACUGAAAUCAGGAUCCGGAGGAGGAAUCUGCACCCCGACACUGCCUGCAGUGCGCAAGCUGAGACACAGAGGUAGCCUGAGCAUCCGCUGACAAAUGAAUGGACAAAGAGGGAGGGACGUGUACACACAGGGGAUGUUAUUCAGCCCUCAGAUGAAGGAAAGUCUGUCAUCUGCGACAAGGCGGAGGAACCCGAAAGACAUUGCGCUGAGUCCCAGCGACUCGGGUGGGAAAUGAGGGUGACCCUGUCCAACAGGCACAAAGUUUCGGUUCUGCCAGAUGAGCCGUUCUGGAAUCUGCCGGACAACCUUGUGUUCGCAUGUAGCUAACAGAGUGGUUUGUGCCCUUCAAAACUGGUCCGAGGGUAGACCCCACGUUACGUGUUCUUAUCACACUAAUCAAUAAGUAAGUUAGUAAGUAAGUAAGUAAAUGCUUUGUAGCGAGAGCUGUUUGGAGGACAUUAUUAGGCGCCUGCUGUGUCCCAGGGGCUCAAGGAGACUCCACAUGCUUCAGCCCAGGCCGCAAGCCUAUUUCACAGAGGAACGAGGGUGCCUGUGUCACACGGCUGGCGACCCGCGGAGCCUUGAUUUCAGACCACGCCCUUGUCUCCUGUACAUCCCCCCCUGGCCAAGCCCCCAUCAGAGACAGAGUUCUUUGUGAGUGAAGGUACUUUGCAAACCCAUCUGUGCUCAAAGACGGGCCAACGUCAACUUCUUGUGAUGGUGACAGCCAAGGUAGGCGGUGGUCCUCUACCUCUCGCUGCCGGGAUUUUUAACGCCAGCUGGAGAACGUGACCUUGUCGCUGCCCUUAGGACUCUCCCGGCUAACGGCAUCCCUGUCUUCAACGACGAGGGCCAGCCCGGACCAGCCGCCGGAGCAUGUGAGGCAAGCAGCCCAGGCACCCCAUCACCCCAGCCGACAGCCAGCCGACCCUGAGCAGCACGGCCACCCAGCCGAUCUGCGGAAACACGAGAAUCCAGGGAAAAACCAGGAGAGCCGCCCAGCAGAGCCCAGCCUAAGCUGCUCGCUAACCUGCGGACUUGUGAGUUUAAGGAAGGGCUGGUGACCUUAACAACUGAGUUCACGGCCGUGUGUUGGGCAGUAGGAACUGGUAUUGCUGUGACUCAGCAGGCAGACGUGGGGUCCAUCAUCAGCGGUGUUGACCAUGUCCUGUCUUCCCCUUUGGCCCGGAGACAGGGAACACCACCAGCCUGGCCCCUUGCCGCUUCGUGGGGCUGCACAAACAGUUCUAACCAGUCGCUUCUGAGACAAGGCAGCAUACCCUGACAACUGGAGGCAUCGUUAGUCCCAACCUUGUGGCCACCUGAGGGCCACCUCAAGAUCAAGACCAAGAUGCUCAGCUCUGGAGGAGCUCCGCCUCGCUCUCUGGCCCACGUGGAGGUUGACUGAAUCCACCUGCGCAAGGGAACACGUGCGGGUCCCUGGGCCGGUGCUGAUGUGCUCUACCCCGAAGCUGGGUUUGGUUUCCAGACGAUGUCUAGAGCGCUCGUCUUGCUCUGGAAGUGGGAUGUCCUGGAUAUGAUGUCUGUGCCCUGUCGCACUGGGGGGCCGUACAUGAAGCGUGGUGCCUGCGUCUGCAUUCAAAAGGGUUAGAAGCGGAGGCCGGAUGCCUUCUAGAGGCUUCUACAGGGAAGGGCAGCCAGUGGGGCAGAUUCAGUGGAACCAGCCAGCGGAGGAGCUGGCCUCCUGCCCGCGGGGUCUGACGGCAGUGACUCCAAGAGCAGAUAUCACUGUCACCACGGCUUGAGAGACCCACACUGCGCCCCAACGUGGGACAUUGCACAUCCGGCUGACUUGAAAUGACCCCUGGGAGCACGGGCGUGGGGAGAGGGGUGUGGAGGGCACCCGGCAGUGGGUGGCCACCCCAUCCCAUCACACUUGCCCCCCUCCGGCCCCUUCCCGACCCCAAAUCUCUCCUGGGCUAGGGUAAAAAUUCCUUAAUGCCGCUCUCAGACAGGGGCUGCUCUCCUGCCUCAACCCCACACCCCCCUGCUGCCCGCAGUGAACACCUACACUUUCUCCAUCGGACAAACUUCUCUGUGACCAGGCAGGUGUAGGGCACAUGUGAUAUGUCCUUCCCUGAGAGUCACUACCUCAAUGGCUUUCAAACAACGAUUUUGGAAAUCUGUUUGACUUGACAGACUGACUUGAUAGCUUGGUUUAGGAGAAGGGCAAUAUUCAUUCAUUCAUUCAUUCAUUCGUCGGGUUAAUAGUAAUUGAGCAGCACCUGCUUUGUGGUGGGUGGUGGGUUACGGGCAGGGUGGGGCGGGGGAGCUCUCAAAGAAACAGGUUGUGGACCAUCUCUGAAGCUUGGGGACACCUGGGGACACAGCCCGAUGCAGUGGCAGGGUCUGGGGCUCUCUGUCCCCCGUUUUGGGACAGAGCCAGAUGCCAGGGUGAAGGCAGUGGGCACCCAGCUGCUGCCGGUGCGGCACCCCUCCCGAGCCUUUCCCUGCAUUUGGUGGUGGCUCGGGGCUCAGGGUGCUCCCAGCCUGCUUUGCUCCUCUCCCCUCCUAGUGGCCGCGUGUCACCGUCUGGCAGAGACCCUUCGCGAGGACCCCGGAUGCUGAACUCCAGAAUCCAUUUGAAUCGCCGUGAUGCGUCAUCUCUGGUGGGUCCCACGGAUUGGAUGCCGAUUGGCUAUGCCCGUAGGUGAGCUUGUUGGAGUCUUUCUUCUGCCUCGCAGCUGUACCAAAGGCAGACUGGCCUGGAGGGCAGGCGAGGAAGCGGUCUGGAGACCCGCAACAGGACACGGUUCCCCAGGUGGCCCAAGGACCCCCAGCCACCCUCCUGCAUGACGAGCUGCCACUUGGGGUUUGCAGGAUUCUCUUGCACUGGGUCACAGAGCCCUUGAGGGCAGGGGCCUUAGGCUGUUUACCUCAUCACUGUUUGUCAGCACAGGGCACAGAGAACAGCCUGUGCAGAAGUUUGACAAAUGAAGGAGUGAGUGAUUUCUGGAAACACAACGCUAACCUCUGCAGGGGAGACAUCUGCCAGGUUUCCCAGCUUCCCGUAAAGUGAGCGUGCUGCCAGGGCGUUUCUUGGCCUCUGCUCCCGGGGCCUCACUAAGUGCUCACCACCCUCCCUAGAGCCUCCUGAUAGAAGCUUCCAUCCAAGAGGAGAGCAGGUGCAGCGGCCUGGGGGUCAGAGGCCGGCUGGCCAGUGCUGGCUCUGCUCCCACCAGCCCGUGGGUCCAGCCAUGGGGUCCCUGGAGGCAGAUGAGCGGCUCCCAUUGGUGGCUCAAGGCACCAAAGCCCCUCAGCUGCGACGCCCGGGCUGGACCUCUUCCCCAGAGCUGGGCAACGCCCAGGGGCCCGGCCCGCAUUGUGGUCCGCUGGUCUACCUUUCCGGGCGGCACCUGCAGAAGGUCCCCAGCAUUGAGUUAUUGCUCUGGGUUCAUCCUUUCCCUUCUCUUCCGUUGUGUGAAGUCCAUUAUCAGAUUCGGGGAAGCCAACCCGCAAGAACCGAGGCUGGUUCCCAGAGCUCAUUCCUUCCUAUGCCAGGCGGCCUGUUCUCAUAGAGGAAAGUGAAAGGGGGUGGCCCCCUGGGGUAGUGGGGGCUGCGCAGUGCUUCUCAGCCUGGGGGAACCCCUUCCCCUGGGGACCUCUGGCCUCAUCUGGAGACGUCCUUGGUUGUCACGACUGCUAGGGGGUGGGGAGGGGCGGAGGUACAGGCAUCUGCUGAGCGGGGGCCAGGGAUGUUGCUAAACUUCGUGCGGUGCACAGGACGGCCCCACUGUGGAGACGAUCCAGCCGAGCAGUAGCACCAAGGCCGAGACCUGCUGUGGCUCGUCUGGCCACGCGGUGUGCUCCGUGGCAGCUGUCAGACCCUGUGAGGGUGCUUUUAUUACUGUCACCUGGAGAGAGCACGUUGGACAGGCAGCAGGCGCCCCCGUCACGGCCUCCGGUGGCUGUGCAGCUGCGGUGGGACCUUGCAGGUGGGCCGGGAGUUAGAAUGGCAUCGUCCACACUCUGCCAGGAGGUCCCGCUCAGACGCCGGAGGUAAUGGAAAUCUUUGCAAAAGUCCAAAGUGCUUUACAAGCACC